UACGUAGGGGGCGAGCGUUGUCCGGAGUUACUGGGCGUAAAGCGCGUGUAGGCGGUUGUUCAAGUCAGGUGUGAAAGCCUUGAGCUCAACUCAAGAAAUGCACUUGAUACUGGAUGACUAGAGGACCGGAGAGGAUAGUGGAAUUCCCAGUGUAGUGGUGAAAUACGUAGAGAUUGGGAAGAACACCAGUGGCGAAGGCGGCUCACUGGACCACAACUGACGCUGAGGCGCGAAAGCUAGGGGAGCAAACAGG
rnacentral:rRNA from 1 species